rnacentral:rRNA from 1 species
GACAGAGGAUGCAAGCGUUAUCCGGAAUGAUUGGGCGUAAAGCGUCUGUAGGUGGCUUUUCAAGUCCGCCGUCAAAUCCCAGGGCUCAACCCUGGACAGGCGGUGGAAACUACCAAGCUGGAGUACGGUAGGGGCAGAGGGAAUUUCCGGUGGAGCGGUGAAAUGCGUAGAGAUCGGGAGGAACACCGGAGGCGAAGGCGGCGACCCGGACAAGUACUGACACUCAACUACGAAAGCGUGGGGAGCAAACAGG